rnacentral:rRNA from 1 species
GAUGAACGCUGGCGGUGUGCCUAAUACAUGCAAGUCGUACGCAUUCUCGUUUCUGAUUGACGGUGCUUGCACCUAAUUGACGAGACAUUGGAAUGAGUGGCGGACGGGUGAGUAACACGUGGGUAACCUGCCCAGAAGCGGGGGAUAACAUUGGAAACAGGUGCUAAUACCGCAUAAAAGUCAAAACCACAUGGUUUUGAUUUAAAAGAUGGCCUUUGUGCUAUCACUUCUGGAUGGACCCGCGGCGUACUAGCUAGUUGGUAAGGUAACGGCUAACCAAGGCAAUGAUAGGUAGCCGAACUGAGAGGUGGGUCGGCCACAAUGGGACUGAGACACGGCCCAUACGCCUACGGGAGGCAGCAGUAGGGAAUCUUCCACAAUGGGCGCAAGCCUGAUGGAGCAACACCGCGUGAGUGAAGAAGGGUUUCGGCUCGUAAAACUCUGUUGUUAAAGAAGAACGUAUCUAAGAGUAACUGCUUAGGUAGUGACGGUAUUUAACCAGAAAGCCACGGCUAACUACGUGCCAGCCGCCGCGGUAA